rnacentral:rRNA from 1 species
UACAGAGGGUGCAAGCGUUAAUCGGAAUUACUGGGCGUAAAGCGCGCGUAGGCGGUCGGGUCAGUCGGUUGUGAAAUCCCCGGGCUUAACCUGGGAAUUGCAGUCGAUACUGCCCGGCUAGAGUGUGGAAGAGGGAAGCGGAAUUUCCGGUGUAGCGGUGAAAUGCGUAGAUAUCGGAAGGAACACCAGUGGCGAAGGCGGCUUCCUGGUCCAACACUGACGCUGAGGCGCGAAAGCGUGGGUAGCGAACAGG